CGACUGGGCGGCCGUGCGGGGCCCCUCGUGGGCACCGGUUUCCUUUUGGCCGGUCUUCCAACCCGCACGGUUCGCCCUCUUU
rnacentral:antisense_RNA from 1 species